rnacentral:misc_RNA from 1 species
AAUGUCGUAACAAGGUUUCCGUAGGUGAACCUGCGGAAUGGAUCAUUACCAAAAGUAAAAUGCUGGGUAAGGAAAGUGGGGGGUCUUGAUCUGUAAGUGAGAGCGAACGUCCGGUGCCUCCCGAAAAUGUCUACAUGUCCCCCAAUCAGCCUGAGGCCGAAAUUACAACCCUUGAUUAUCUACACCUGUGCUUUGGGGUGCUCAAGUGCCCCAGAGGACCCAACUCUCUUGCAUUUAGUGACGUCUGAGUACUAUAUAAUAUUUAAAA